CAAGCAGGCCAUCCUCCUCCUCCCCUGUGGCAGCUCCCCUCUCCGGCCAUCCUCCUCCUCCUCCCCUACUGUCACUUCUCUGCCCGUGGCCGCCAUGGCCUUACCCGAGCCGUCCGCCGCCAUUCCUGCUCCUCUUCCCGGCGUCCCUCCGUGCUCUCACGUCCCACCUCCACUGCCUGCGGGAAGCAAUUCCUUAGGUCUUUAUCGGUCCUUGUUAUUUUUUUGCAAACUUUCCUAACCCUUGUUAUAUGUUGUUGCAGAUCUUGCUGAAAAUUGGAUCCCUGUAGGCCGAUGUAAGGAGCUUCAACGCAACAAGACAUGCUUGAGGCAACACCUUAUUUCCCAGAUUUAGGAGUCACGCCGGCCCUACAUCCCUUCUUCUCUAACCAUGGCCAUGGCCCAUAGAGUUUGGGAUCUCGGCAGCCUACCCACUCCUCAAGGAUCCAUGGCGUGCAUGUGGUGCUACAGUUAGACCUUAAGGCACCAAAGGGCAGUCCGCAAUCACCACAGGCUCACUGUCAGCGUAUUUUUUUUUUUAUAACCACGAGUAGUUUUUGUUAUGCAUCUCACACUUUUUUGUGAAGUCUGUACAUGAUCUAGUAUUUCUUGUUCCUGAAUGAAGUACUACUUGUUCCGGAAUUAUCAAAGGGCCUUGUUUUGGGUGAGAAAUUUGUAAAAAUAGAUAGAACCUUUGGGUAUUUAUAGAAUUGCUGAGCUAUGUUCAUCGA